rnacentral:rRNA from 1 species
UACGGGGGGAGCAAGCGUUGUUCGGAUUUACUGGGCGUAAAGGGCGCGUAGGCGGUUCGACAAGUCGGGUGUGAAAACUCCGGGCUCAACCCGGAGACGCCACCCGAUACUGUCGUGACUGGAGUCCGGUAGGGGAGUGGGGAAUUCCUGGUGUAGCGGUGAAAUGCGCAGAUAUCAGGAGGAACACCGGUGGCGAAGGCGGCGCUCUGGACCGAGACUGACGCUGAGGCGCGAAAGCGUGGGUAGCAAACGGG